GAUGAACGCUGGCGGCGUGCCUAAUACAUGCAAGUCGAGCGAGCGGACGAGAAGCUUGCUUCUCUGAUGUUAGCGGCGGACGGGUGAGUAACACGUGGAUAACCUACCUAUAAGACUGGGAUAACUUCGGGAAACCGGAGCUAAUACCGGAUAAUAUUUUGAACCGCAUGGUUCAAAAGUGAAAGACGGUUUUGCUGUCACUUAUAGAUGGAUCCGCGCUGCAUUAGCUAGUUGGUAAGGUAACGGCUUACCAAGGCAACGAUGCAUAGCCGACCUGAGAGGGUGAUCGGCCACACUGGAACUGAGACACGGUCCAGACUCCUACGGGAGGCAGCAGUAGGGAAUCUUCCGCAAUGGGCGAAAGCCUGACGGAGCAACGCCGCGUGAGUGAUGAAGGUCUCCGGAUCGUAAAACUCUGUUAUUAGGGAAGAACAAAUGUGUAAGUAACUGUGCACAUCUGGACGGUACCUAAUCAGAAAGCCACGGCAAACUACGU
rnacentral:rRNA from 1 species